GACAAAUACAAGACCAGAAAUUAAUAAUUUAUCAGGGAACUAACAGAUGUUUUGAGAGAAUGCAGAGAAGUACCCGUAAGUUGUGAGGGGGUGUACCAGCACCUGCAAUUUUGCUUUCACUGAGUGUACUUGUUUACACCUGAGCUUGGGGAAUACAGAGUGGGCGUGAAACAAAUCGUUUUGAUCCACUAGCUAUUUCCACCCACUCUCCAAAUCUCCAUCUGAUGAAACUUCAUGAUUCUCUUAAGAGCUCAUGAUCUCCUUACAGUUAUGUUUUGUCCUCAGUACAGGGUAUCUGCCACUCCUGCCCCAUCCCAUUGCCCUGCUGCCCCCAGCUGGCUGGUGGGCCAUGGGGGACUCCUGAGCUCCUCCAGCUCCAGCCCCAGCCCCAGCCCUGCAUCAACCCUGGGAGGCCCCUGCACUGCUUCUGCAAGUGCAAGCAGAAAAUCCUGCAGCAAGGCACAGCAGGAUUUAGGAUUUAGUAGGGACAUAUCAGCUAGUUAGAAAUCAAAGCAGUAUUUACUUUUACCCUUGGCACAUGCAAAUAUUUUAAGAUGCAUAUAAAUAUAUAUAUAUAUAUUUUUUUUUUCAACUGCAUUGAUUAUCCUCUUCCCUUGCUUUCUCUGUUCUGUCCAUUUGACCCCUGAGUGGUAGCAAGUCUCCUUUGUCUCCUUUCCAAACUGGACAGUCACAGGGUUUUUCAACCUCUCUUCUGGAAAUUAUCUGUCCCUGUAACUAUUUUUGUCACAUCUUCAAUCCUCCCCUCCUCCUUUAAUUUCCAGGAGUUGCCAGCACUGAGCACAGUAUUCUGGAUGUGGCAGCACAGUAUUUUCUGUCCUGAUUUUAUAUAUCCUAUCAGUGUUCAUUUAUUUACUUAUGUGAAGCAACAUAGGGGGGUGUUUAGCUGCUGUCUGGAGAAUGAGCAAUUUCCAUUGACCUGUCUGCAGUGACUCUUCCCGAUGUUGCCACAGCUAAUUUGAAACCCAGCAUAGGGUCUAUUCCUGUUCUCUUUGAAGUUAAGAGGUAUCAGUGUUUGCUGUUGAUAUCGGUGGUUCCAGAUGGUUCAAUACUGAGGAAGAGAGGUUUUGAAAGUAACUGUGAAAAGUUCAAGACAUUACCUUUCACAGAGUAUAUGUUUAAUUAAAUAGGAUGUAAAUAUUUGGGGUGAAAGAUUAGCUCUAAUUUCUUAUAAAUUUUCUUGAACUCAUGAACCUGUAUGCUCAGAAAGUAAAGGAAAAGUCAUAGGGCAGUGAAAAAUUACAACCUUCUAUAUUUGAUGAUGUGUUACAUAAAUUGGAGUUUUGCCACUCCUGAACAUGCUGGGAGCUGUACACAUCUGAAGAAAUAUUGGAGGGACAUUCAAAAGGCUGGGACUGCUAAGCUUUGAUAAGAAACACUUCACUGGAGAAAAGAGGUGCUCUUCAGAAAAACUCAUCAUGGCUUAUACAAACUCCUUGAAAAGUGUUGGUGACUUUUGAAUAAAGAAGUUAAAAGUUAAUUAACUGGGCUUGAGAAAAGUGAGGGGGUGUCGAUGUCCUAAGGAAGGAGGUCAAAAAACAACACAGUGCUACUGGCACACUCCUGCCAUUAGCAAUCAAACUUAAUCAUCUCUUAACCUGACUCAGUGAGGCAAUGUGCUAGUCUGCUUCAGCUGAAAUUUCCUUCCAAUCAGGUAAUUUUAUGUACUUAUUCUUCAGAUCUCAAAACCAAAAUCAAACCUUAGAGCUGCAUUUGAUGGCUCCCCGGGAUAUGCACGCACGUGUAAUCCCGUCCUGUAUAAUUACCGUCUGCCUACACACGUUCUCCUUGCGUUUCAAUCCGGUAUUCUCUUUCUCUUUCAAACUGUGCCGUGCCUGUUCCUGAAUAUCACAAGGUGACUGUUUUGCAGUGGUGGGUGGAUAAAACAUUACUAGCUAUGAUUAAACACAAGUGCUCGAGCCUGGUCUCAGAAUAGAGGGUAUCUAUUAGCGCCGGUGUGCACAGCGCUGUGGGCACCCAGAAGCAUAAUUGGGCACUCGGUGUCACAAGGGUUUCCUGAUUCUUCCACCAAAAUAGGCCAAUGCCAUGCUCUAUCUCUAAAUAUAUUGUGGGCAGGUUCAUGGAGUGAAUGACAGCUGUAACUCAGCAUUCUCUUUUAUGGGGUUAUGUAACAUUUUUUACACCUUUCCAGCAGAUUCAUCGCCUCAGAUGAAAAGGCUGUGUUUCCUGCAGGUGUUAACCUCUAGGACAUGUGUGCCCUGCACAGGAGAGCACCGUGCUCAUCUUCCCCUACCUUACUUUCCAAGUAGUUUAGCUUUUCCUUAUUUCCUGAGCUUGUAGCACCAACUGUUCUGUGCCACGCACACCCAGGCACCAAACCCCAGAGAUCUUGGGUAUGAAGAAAACAGAGCCAGAUUUUCCUCAUUGGUGGCCACUGACAGGACAGGAUAUAACAGGCACAAACUGAAAUACAAGGAGUUUAAUAUGGACAGGAAAAUAAACUUGUUUUGGUUUGUUGGUUUGGUUUGGUUUGGUUUGGUUUGGUUUGGUUUGGUUUGGUUUGGUUUGGUUUGGUUUGGUUUGGUUUGGUUUGGUUUGGUUUGGUUUUUUUUCAACUGUAAGGGUGCUCAGGCACUGGAGUAGGUUGCCCUGAGAGGUUGGGUAGUCCUUGGAGAAACCCAGCAUCUGGGACACAGCUUGGAGCAGCCUGCUGGAGCUGCCACGGCUCUGAACAGGGGCUGCACUAGGUGAUCUCUACCCUCAGCUGGUCUGUGAAUCUGGGCAGAGCCUCUGCUGGUCCCAAGAGAACUUGUUCUCUGCUCGUGAGGGUCAGGAUGGUUUUGUGGGCAAGGUGCAAGGUCCCUGUUUGCCCCUGCUUCUCUGUGGGCUUGCCAGUGCUAACAGACUGAAACAAAAAUGUGUUAAGUGCCAUAUUACUGAGUGGGGUUAACAAUACAAGUAACCUGGCUGCUUAAAUUACUUUUAGCCUCAGGCUCCAUUACAUCAAAUACUCCCUUUUCCCUCCCCAGUUUUCAAUCUUUUUUUUUUCUUUUUUUUUUUUUUUUCUUUUUCUCAUGGCUCACAGACAUUUGACACCCAGCUCCUGCUGAUCUCGAUAUCACUUAAUACUUUUUUGACCUCAAGCCUUAAGGUUCCCAGCUGGCACAACAUCCCAUACAGCUGAACAAGAACCUCUCUUCUUCCCCCUCCCAUGGCACAGGACUCUCACUAGGCAUUGGAUCCCCUAAAAAGGUCUGAUGUCUCUGGUCCUCUCAGUCACAACUAAGAUAUAGUGGCUCUCAUCCAAUGAAACCCAGUUUUCUUGGAGGCCAUUCACCUGGAACACUAAUUAACAGAAGGAGCAAAAAAUACUACAGCCACCAGCACCUUGCCACUUGCCAUCCACAUGCAGGACCAAACAAAUUGUCAUGAUAAGCCUUGCCUCAGAGCUCAGGUGCUGAGGAAAAUCAAGCCCACUGUUCUCAAAUUUUGUAUGAAGCACACUGCUGGCAAGCAGUGCUAUUUUAACAUCUGCUAAUAAUAUUAUCUUUCUCUCAGGUGUACUUCCCGCUCUCUGGUUGCUUAUAAUUGCUACCUGAACUCCCUUGGCAGUCAGUGGACCCUCUAUUAUCUCCCCGUGAUGCUCCAAUCCAUUCAGACCUCCCUCUGGCCAGCUACAAUUCUCUCUCUCCCAGCUCCCAAAGCCGCUGCAGCUUAUCUACCAGUGCCUCUCUUGCCACUCCAAUCAACCUUAUUCUACUGAACAACACUCUGCCAUUUAAAGAAAACAGGAAAGUAUGUACUUGACGGCAAAUGCAAGCUUAAAUGUUGUCGUGAUUAAGGACAGACUUAAGCACAUGCUUAGGAGCUUUCUUAAAUCAUGGAAUGAGGCUUUUUUUCAGCCCUAGAGACUUUCGUCACUCCCAUUUUGACAAUCUGCAGGGCUCUGAUUGCAGUUGAUGAGAUGCCAAUGCUAGCUUCUGUGGCAAAAAUGUUGGGUCCCAGCAUUUUCCAACCACGGGAAACUGUGCUACUAUUUUUAUGUAAGAAAUCAUUUAAUUUAUAUGUUGUUCAACACAGAUGCAACUUGAAAACAAAUAUCUAAAUAAAUUAAUGAAUUCUAAAAGCUCAUUUUUUUCCAAAGGCAUAGUUUUUCAUGUUGCAUCUCUUUUUCUUUUUUUCCCUGAAAAUGUACCCAAACUACUUAACUUCAAACAGAUAAAAGAUUUCCUCUAAAAAAAAGCACCAGUAAUUCCAAACUGUCGGUAUUUUCUGCAACAUGUUAGCUGAAAGUAGAAGAAAUAAGAACUAAAUCCAGAUUUUGGAUGUAUCUCCAUAUAUACAAUAAAUUGACCAUGUUCAGUGCUAAUAUUAUAUAAUUAAAGACUGAACAUGAAUCACCUGAAGGCUAAGUAAAGUGUCUUUAUCUGAACAGUUUCCAGCCCUAUGUGCUUAACCCUAAGAUUCUGGUAAUGCAGCUGGUUUUAUAAGAAGUUCCCUUACAAAGGAGAAAACAGACAUAUACCAUUAGCACUUCAUAGAAAAUCAGUGAUUAUAGCAAGUGCACAAAGGUUCAGUAAAUGCCUCCCACUCAGCAAGCUUCCAAAGUGAACGACCACAUGAUGUUUACUCCUCACCAGAACCCAUUUAUAGAUCUCUUACUCACCACUAUCACAGUCAUACAUGCAAUAUUUAAGAAAAGACAGGCAAGAAGUCUUCUAUUUAUUUGGGAGAGGAUGGGGGGUUACAGUGGGAGAACUGGGUCUUUUCUUUAGAAUAUUAUUUCACCAAGCAGCGAAACGUGAUUUAAAACAUAUAAACUCUAAAGAUUAUAAUAAUCUGAAAGCAUUCAUUACAUACCCUGGGCUAUACAUACUGUCAAUAAGCAUGACUACUUGGAGAAAAUUUUGCACAGGAAAAUUUUGAUUAAAAGGAUCAAAAAUGUCUCUUCAAAAGUGCAAGUGGGAAAUGAAGGUAACAGCUUCCUGGAGCCCAGGAAAGGCUUUCAUUCCCACAACUUUUAAGUGACAUCUGGGCAUUCCUGGUGAAUAAGCACCCUGGGAAUGAAAAGGGUAUUCAUUUCAGUAAGGUAAGAAGGGGACAGAGGUCAUGAACUUUUAUUAGUGUGGAGCAGACUUAGCCUAGAAUUCCCAACACACCACUCUUCAGAAGGAAAAUUUUGUGAAAAGAAGGUAAAUACACCAACAUGCUUUCUCUGAUUACUCUAGGGAAUUUGGAAUGUGAAAUAAAGUUGGACUAUCUUCUUUGACUCCCCAGUUCUAUUACUCAGCUGAUAAAAGCCUUGUCCUUCCUGAGAUAGUAACCUGAAGUGCCAAAGGAUCUUCUUUAAUUCAACUGCCCUCACUUCCCGUCAGUGGGCACCACUUGCAAAGAUCAUCUUCUCCUGCACAACUGCUUCAAUAUUUAUAUCAUGUCUGGGUCACUGUCUGUAUGGACAGCGGAAGAAGCAAUAGGAAGUCAAAUGUGCUCCAGGUGAACAUACUUAUACUGUGACGGGGCAUCAGAAAGAGGGUUCAGGUUGCAAAGGGGGGGUUCAUCAUUUGAAUCCCUCUCAAUGGUAUCUGGUCAACUAAAUUAAGAAGUCUACUUUAAAUUAAAACAUGUUUUGCUUUCUUGCAUGCUUUUUGCAAAUUAUUUCAACACAUUUGUUAGGUUUCUGUCAGGAUAAAAGUAGUGAUCUCACAUAUUUGAGCACCUCUCAUACAUCUCAAAUAUAUUGUCUCUCAUAUGUAUCUUUUCUUGAUGUGGUCCUGGGCAACCAGCUCUAGCCGGCAGUGCUUGAGCAGGAGGGUCAGACCAGAUGACCUUCAGAGAUCCCUUCCAACCUCUGCCAUGCUGACACUGUGUGAUUCUGUGAAAUACUGAAAACAUUAAACAGUUUCUACCUUUUUUCUUCAUUUUACCUACAGUAAAAUGAAAUAUAUUGGAAGCAGCUAAAAAAUAGAGAUUCAGGUUACACACAUACACACAGAGUUUCAAUACAGAGGGUCAGAUAUUUUAUUUUUUUUUUUGAGAUUUAUUUGACAAAGAAUGUUAGACACAAGUGUUGAAAUAUGAAAGUUUUUUUUUUUUGCUUGUUUUUGAUAAUGAGCUUUUCUUAUCUUUGUCAUUAAAAAAAUCCUAAAAGCCAUAUGUGCUUUCUCACACGUGUUGUUCCUCCAAUUAAUUUACGUCUGUCUUCAGACAGUAUAGGAUGGGCAGCCAAAGGCAAUGUUGACCCUUUGUACUCUCUGUAGUUCAGUAUGUACACAAGGAAGCUGUAGCAGAGUAUUGUGUAAGACCACGUUCAGUCAAUAACAAUAGACCUUUUCAUUUAGGACAACAGCAAAAAUAAAUAAAUAAAUAAAAGCCAAGCAAAAGCAUUCCACACAUUAUAUCUUGUUACUUACACUGACACAAAGCUUAGUCAGCAAAGAAACUUGCAAAAGAGAGAAAUUCAGUGUGGUGGCUCUGAAGUGACAGCUAUUGAAUGGAGGUCAUUCAGAUCAAUAUGUUAUGGCAGCAAAUUUAUCUCCUGCCAAGUAAGGAACAAAUCUCUGACAUUUUUGAAAGGUAUAAAUUGGGCACUUAGCCAACAUAACACAAUUAAGAAGAAUGGCAUUGCACUGACCUAAUGGCUGCCAUAACAGUUUAAGUGAUAAAAAAGACAGAUUAGAUAACAGUAUGUGUUGGAAGCUCUUUGGAGGAUUUUUGACUCAGCGCAGUUGUAUUAAACUGCGCAUGGUUUCCAGGCUGUUCCCUUAGUUAUUUGGAGACUGCAACUACUUGGGCACAGUGGCUGUGUUAUGCAAGUAGUUCACAGAGAGCUAAUAAGCAUGAACAAGAAACACAAAAUCAUAGACGUGAAUAUUUUUUUAUGGUGAGGUUUGUGCAUGGAUUCCUGGUUUAAGUCAGAUGAAGAAGCAGCUAGGCUUUUUUACCUUCUAUACAUCAGAUAUUUUUUAACUUUCUAAAGCAAUCAAGUACUGUGUAAGCACAGAAUCCUAUCAGUUCCCUGAAUGACCAAUAUUUUCAAUGAGUUGUCAGUCAAUUAAUCAUGUAACAAAUGUAAAAUCCGUGAUUUUAGUUGAAUACUAAGGAAUCUUUCAUGCUAUCUUAGUCAUACAGAAGAUGGAUUGGUUGUUCUUUGGGAACAGUUCUUAUUCAGAAGGAAACAAUCCAUUAUGAAUUUUUCAGGUGGAAAAUUUGUUCCUCACUAAUUCAGCUGCAGGCAUCUCAUAUCAAGUAGACAACAGUGCAGCUGGCUCACCCAGCGUGUAACAUCUUGAAGUUUUCCUCAAGUUACUUUUUUUUUUUUUUUUUUUUUUUUCUUUUUUUUCCUCAAGCCUUGAUCCCUGCCAUGGACUGGCAAGCCAAACUGAGAUGGCAGCUCUUAGAGGGUCCAAGCCAUGACAGGGUCCCAGAAACUUGGAAACUGAGGUCCUUCCUCUGUCUAGGGACUUUAGUGCUCUUACUUACAUGUAGAGGUUCUGAAUCACACAGAAAUUCUGGGCUUAUCCAGGUUUCUGGUAUUUCCAAGCUCCCAGCCCAGCUGUGGAUUUGCAGUAAGGAGCUGGGCAGCCCUCCAAUCUGUAGGUGGAGCUGGAGCCCUCAGAGCUCCUUGGUUCUGUGUCCAGAGCAAGGAGCUUCAGGCCAGCCACCCCACACCUGGGAAGUGCCUCACAUCCCAGGACAUGCCCAAGAACAAAGACCGCUGAAGUCUUUGGGAAAUAUAAAACUGAAAUACUUGUAUUUUCUAUGAUCCUUAAUGGAGUUACACUGAUUUUCCUUUCUCUUGAUUAUUAGAACCAAGAUGCAAAUGAUGCACAUAUCAUACGCAGUUCCUAAAAGGCCAAGGACCAGAUUUCAGCCUUUCCAGGGAAAAAAGACAUUCUUCCCAUAACAAAUGACUAGUACUAAUUUAGAAGGUUUAGUGUUUGUAUCAUGUCACAAACAUUAUACUCUCUAGAUCAUGGAAAUAUGCUCUGAACUUUUCUAUAAUCUACUCAGUUGUAUCAGUAGUGUGUUUUGUUUUUUGUUUUCUUUUGCUUGGGCAGCUCUUGGCUCAGAUCAGAAAGCCACCUAAAGCAAUACAUGGGCUGCUAGUUAUCAUCGUUUAAAUGAAGUAGCACCUUACUGAACACAUUUUUUAGCUUAAUGAUUCACAACAGCAAAUUUGCUGCAAUAAAUAUGUUGGUUUUCAGGAUGAAAAUCAACAGUUUCUUAAAAUUGUGAAAGCAUAUCUUGAGGUUUAUCAUAGGCAAGCAGUUCAUAGAAACUAACUUGAUAAGGCCUGAUUAUGCAUAACAUUUCAAAAUGGUAUUACAAAGAAAACAUACAAGCUCUGAUACAGUUUUUAUUAUUGCCAUUCCUACCUCUGCUGUGACUUUCACUGAAACUACCUUUCAUGUUCUUUCUGCACAGUUUACAUGUCUGAAAAAAAAAA